CUUACAUGAUGAUUUUAUUCGUACCGCCCCAGUCUGAAGAGACGUGUUGAUUGGUUAUUUAUACUGAUA
ensembl:snoRNA snoRNA:Me28S-G3081a